UCUUUUUUGGGGGGGGAAGUAGACUUUUGGGGAGGACUAUAAGGAAGGUUGUUUCUCCGUGAGAGAUGAAGAGCGCCAGACCCUGGAUGUGGGAGUGGAAGACCCUAUAGAAAGAUAAUGGCAGCAAGUUUAUUUGUCUUUUAAAAAGAAGGAAUCUUAACUGUGUUUUUUAAAAAGAAAAGCAGCAAAAAAGAAGAGGCAAGGAAGAUAAGCUGAGGACAGAAAUAGAAGAAGAGAUGGGACAUCCACAUGCUUAUUAAGUUCUGCUUUGUGAACGGCGGAAGAAGAUUGUCAAAUUGGCUGAAAGAGCGGUUGUGUGCACCUGCAUAAAAACCCAACUGCAAAGGGAGCUCAUUACUUUUGUUUAGCAAAUGUUCUUCACUCUACAUUCAUAGUGCCCACUAAAUACCAUGGAUUAACGUUGAUUCCUAUAAUUUGUUUUUUACACUGAAAAUAACUUGGAGUACUGAAGCAAAGUUUUAUUAGAGAUUGAUCUCAGCUGGA
rnacentral:lncRNA from 1 species